CCGGGCAGUGGCCCUGGCCCCGUUGCGCAGAGUGCACGUGAGCGCGCGUCGCGCUCGUUUCUAAUUUUAGCUCCGGCUGCCCUGGUGGGGUCCGGCGAGGAUCUUUCACGAACGUCACUUCAUUGUUUUCACCAGAGCCUGAGCUCCUCUAUGGCGUCACAGUGGACGAUGGCCAUGCAAAAAUGAACAGAAGGGGGGCUUCCCUGGUGGCGCAGCGGUUGAGAAUCUGCCUGCCAGCACAGAGGACACGGGUUCGAGCCCUGGUCUGGGAAGAUCCCACAUGGCGCGGAGCAACUAGGCCCGUGAGCCACAAUUACUGAGCCUGCGCGUCUGGAGCCUGUGCUCCGCAACAAGAGAGGCCGCGAUAAUGAGAGGCCCGCGCACCACGAUGAAGAGUGGACCCCACUUGCCACAACUAGAGAAAGCCCUCGCACAGAAACUAAGACCCAACACAGCCAAAAAUAAAUUUAAAAAAAUUAAUUAAAAAAAAAAAAAUGAACAGAAGGGUCCUCAAGGGUCGUGAUGGGGUGAAGAACACAGGCUUACAAACACAUCAUCAUGCAGCAUGGUCAGUGCCAUGAAGAGGAAGGCAAAGCACUGCAGGAGAUCAGAGACAGUCUCACAGCAGAAGUAAGGCUAAAUUGGCAGGUGUUAACAGGAAGAUAGGGCAUGAGAGAUCAGGGGACAAGGAAUCAAGAGAGGGAGGUUCUUUCCAGAAGAAGAAAUAGCAGGUACAAGGCUUAGAGAGUCAUUGAAACCUGGCUAUACCAGGACCCAGGUAAUGUGUGCAGAAUGACUAGGGUGCUGGGAAACAUGCAUCCCCUACAUCCUGCCUGCUGCUGGCACCUCAUCCUCCAUCAGAAUGGAGACACUUUCUCCUUCCUCCUUCUCCAAGUCCUAUCCAUUCUCAACCCACUCAAGACCUACUUCCUUCUUGAAGAAGCCUUGUUGGACUGUGAACCAAAAAGAUAGGCAUUUAAUUCCAUUCUGUU